rnacentral:lncRNA from 1 species
UUCAUUUCUCCUUUCAAGUAUACACACCAUUCCUGAACUAUAAGAUAUUGAAGGACCUGCAUGUAGAAAGCCCCAGAAUUAAAAUCCAUGUUCCAAUGAGUUUUUUACAUUUGGUUUUCUUUGGGGCUAAAUAGUGAUGUAUUGAAUAAUGUAAAAGGGGAACUGACUACCUUAAGUAGGGUUGACUGGUAACUCCCCG